GAAAACAAAGGAAUAAGCAUGAAAAUAUUUUCUUGGAGAUCAUAAUUACAUAAUUCUUGAUUUAUGCUAAAAAAUAAAGAUAUGUGGGAACUUUUGGCAUUCACACGGAUACUCCUCUCCAGCAAAAACUCUUCUGCGUGGAUCAGCGCUCUUGCUUGCAGCACUGCGCUCAGUAGGGUGGAUGGAGAGGCUCCCCUCUUACGGGUAUUCUCAUCAUUUAUUAAGCACCUACUGUGUGUCAGGUGCCAUGCCAGGUGCAGGGGACACAUCCUGUGAACAGGUGGACACGUUAGAGAGGCUGUCCCUAUUGAGGUAAGAGCUCUGACCGGAUGCACAGAAAGGCAUGACCAGCCCAGUGUGGGCAAAGCGCGCCUUCCCGGAGGAAGUGAAGUCCAAAGUCUAAAUGGGAACAGAAUGACGAACUAGAAUGUGCUCAGGGACUUCCCUGGUGGUCCACUGGUUAAGACUCCGCAUUCCCAACGCAGGGGACAUGGGUUCGAUAUCUGGUUGGGGAACUGAGAUCCUGCAUGACGGCCAAAGGGAAAAAAGAAAAAAAAAAGAAUGAGCCCAGCAAAAAGAGACAAGGCGGGAGAGGGCUGGAGGCACACACAAGGGCCCAGAGGAGCGAGGAAGCCCACCCCUCAGGGAACCAGGGGGAGUUGAGUGGGGUGGAAUAUAGUGUGGAAGGGAAAAGUGGGGGAGAGGAAGGUGGAGAGGUAAUCACGGGCCCUAUCAGGGAAUCAGGACCAUCCCAAGGCCCGUAAGAGACACUGAAGAGCUUAAAGCCCACCGUGCAUGAUUUGAUCUGUGUGUUUAGGGGGCCUUGGACUGCUGGGUGGGGCAAAGGAGGCAGAGAUGGUUGCAAAAGUUCAGUGGUGUGGUAGACGGAAAAACAGACCUCCAAACUACAGCUGCAUCCUAGUCCCUGGAACCCAUGAAUGUCACCUCAUAGGGUGAAAAAAGGGCCGUUGCAAAUGUGAUUAAGGUGAGAAUCUGGAGGUGGGGAGAUUACUCUGGAUUAUCUGGAUGGGUCCCAAAUGCAAACACAGAUCUCCUUCUAAGAGAUAGGCAGAGAUCUGACACACACAGAGGAGGAGGCGAUGUGACCCCAGAGGCAAAGACAGGAAUGAUGCAGCCACAAGCCAAGGAGUGUCAGCAGCCACCAGAAGCUAGAAGAGAGAGGCAAGGAGCAGACUCUCCCCGAGAGCCUCUGGAAGGAGCGCAGCCCUGCUGACACACCUUGGUACUCACUUCAGACCCCUGGCCUCCAGAACUGGGAGAGAAUAAAUUUCUGUUGUUUUAAGCCACCUAGGUAGGCGGUAAUUUGUUACAGCAGCUACAGGAAACUAAUACAAGGAAUGACAAGACAGUGGCCUGAACUUGGUAGUGGCAGCAAAGAUGGAGAAAAGUGGCCACGUGAGGGAAAUAUUUAGGAGAUUGAACUGCAGUAAAUGAUGGGAUAACUGGGAUCAACUUUGUACCCCCAAAAAGUGGGGGGGAGAAGAUAUAAAAAAUGUAACAUUCCAGUGGGUUAUCAAGAUACACAGAGUACCCACCGCACAUCGACUAUCGCUGGGCUGUUUGCUAAGAACAGCAGUCUUUCCUAAUUUGAUAGAUAAUCAAGGUAAAGGGGAGGGAUUAAGGGGCAAGGGACUGUGCUAUUGUCUUUGUUGCUGCUAAUGAUGAUAAUGUCUCCUGGAAAGCAGAAAAAGAUCAAGAAUAAUGCAUGGGUUUUGGCAUCAGCUGGGCUUCAGGCUCCAGCUCCACCAUCUGCUAGUGGAGCAGGGCAUGUAUCCAAACAGUUUGCUCCUCUGUAGUAUGAGGAUAACAAUAUCUACGACCUGGAGCUAUAGGGAGGAAUGAUGGAAAUAAUGCAGGAGCACUGCAUGAAGGCUGUCAAUAUUAAGAAGUACCAAGCCCAUGCUUAGUGGCCUCGAUGGAGGACCCUGAGAUGGGAAAUUAUUCCAGCUUCGAGGACUCUUAAGUGGGUAUUUAAGCAGAUGUUGCUGCCUAACCACUUCCAGAUGGAUUUAUUCUUUAUCUUUUGGCUGCGUUGGGCCUUUAUUACUGCAUGCAGGCUUUUCUCUAGUUGCGACCAGCGGGGGCUACUCUUCGUUGCGGUGCACGGGCUUCUCAUUGUGGUGGCUUCUCUUGUUGUGGAGCACAGGCUCUAGGCGUGGGCUUCAGUAGUUGUGGCAUGUGGGCUCAGUAGUUGUGGCUCAUGGGCUCUAGAGCGCAGGCUCAGUAGUUGUGGUGCACGGGCUUCGUUGCUCCGCGGCAUGUGGGAUCUUCCCGGACCAGGGCUUGAACCCGUGUCCCCUGCAUUGGCAGGCAGAUUCUUAACCACUGUGCCACCAGGGAAGCCCCCAGACUCUGUUUUAAUUGCUUUUACAUAUUGAAUCAUCAUAAUAAAUCUAUGAGGGAGAUACUAUUAACGUUCCCGUUAUAUGGAUGAGAAAAAAGGAAGGAUAUAUUUUGGUUCUCCUUUUUAACCUGCCUCUUAAUAAUUUGAAACCACUUUUAGAUGAUCUAGACACUAGCUUGCUGCUAAAGAGAAUGGAAAAACAAGUCUGUUCUUUCACAUCAAGACUCUAGGAACGGCCUCAAUAACAAAAGGUCCCCACCAUCUUUCAUCAGGAAAAAUGGCUCAAGAUCAACUACCAUGAAGCCCAAGUUAUCACUUUUGACACAAAAUGUAAUUGACCGAAUUCAACUACCCUACAGUCCAAUUCAUUUCAUUAUUUAGGGGCACAGUUUGCAACUAAUUUAUUCUUAAAAUUUUAACAUUCACUUAUAAUUUUACAUUGCAUCCAUGUACCACUGGAAAUUUUUCUCUGGAUGUAAAGAGAAAUUGGUAACUAUUACUUAAGAUUUUUCAUUAUUCCCAUGCUUCCCAGAGUGGAAUUUUCAAGCCUUGAUUGUUAUUUGUUCAGGUGUUGGAACUGACUUAAAACAGUUUUCUAUGGAAAAUCCUGGGCCUGCCCACAGGCAUGGCCUCGGGUCAUGCUGUAGGAGUGGAGGUGACUCCCUUAGCCAAGUCCUGGGUCGACUUCUAAGUUUUUAUAGAAAAACAUCAAUCCUACCUUCAAUUUGGCUGAUUUUUAAAUAUGUGGAUGUGGCCUUAAUCUGCGAUAUAUAAUAAUUGCUCGCCAGGCCCUUGCCAAAGAAUGUACCUUUGAACUGUUGGCUGCCUAGUUUUCAUCAAAAUCACGCAUGCCAGAAAUAACUGUUCCUACAGGAAAGGAGCCGGAUAAUUGGACAUCAGAGAUUUUAGCCCCAGAGAAUCGCUCCUACUGAACUGUGCUGUCAUCAGGUCUCCAAAAUGCACUAAGAAUCCCAGAAAUCAGGUUACCACUGUGUUUGUUAUAAGGACACGAUUGAAGACCCUAAGUAGCCCAGUUUACCCUUUAUGAGGACUCAGGACCUGACAGCAAGGAAGAAGCAUGUCUGCGGCAACAACCCCCUUUUCUCUUUCAAGCACUGAGUCUCGGAACUUCUUUAUUUGGCUGCAGAAAGAUGAGAGCUGAAUCCAAGGCCCAACUGUAUUUAUUUCAUAAGAUAUUACAGCAUAAAUUUCUAUGUGCUAAGUCUCUCUGUGGUCUCAUCUAGUUUUUCUUCAAUUACCCUUGACCUAGAUUUCUUUUAAAUUCUAUUCAUAAGAAAUGCUUAUCUUAUUUUCAUCAUCAUUAUUCUUUUAAGCCACAACACAUCCUUUUGGGAAGACAGUUGAGGUGUUUGAAUAUGUUUAUGUAUACAUAUAAAUGAAUAUAUUCACAAAUUGAUUGGCAUGAGAUAAAUUUGAGUGUUUAUUUACAUUAAUUUUAUCAUUCUGUCAUUAACUGGCCAACACUUUUUUUUUUCUUUUGGCCCCACUAAGAGGCUUUUGGGAUCUUAGUUCCCCGACCAGGGAUCGAACCCGGGCCCUUGGCAAUGAAAGCGCGGAGUCCUAACCACUGGACCUCCAGGGAACUCCCUGGCCAACUGCUUGAGGGCAGAGGACCAGACUCCCUCUUUGCCAGAGUAUCUCCAGCACCAGCUUGGAGGCCACCUCCCUCCUUCAUCUGCUCAUCACAUAAAGUAGCUGACCUGUCCCUAGGGGCCUUUUUGUUUGAAAAAUAGGCAGCUUAGAAUACCAGCUUGUAAGAUGCAUGGGAAUAAGAACUUCACUUGGGGGCAUAAAUGCACAUGCGACUACAGAGGGCAGGUUGGCCUGCUCUCAGUGAACUGCUAUUUUUCUCACCCUUUUUUACACGAGUGCAUAGGAAUGAAUUCAGUUAAAUUAAAUACGCACCUCCUACAGCACUCAAAAGGGCUCUGAGUGAGGCGAGUGAGAACAUAUCCCCCUCCCCCAUAUAAUCCUCAAGAAAAUCUCUGUUGUAGUCUGGGUAGGGGAGUUAUAAACAUAUCUUUUCAAUUGUGGUAAAAUAUACAUAUAAAAUUUACCAUUUUAACCGUUUUUACAUGUAUAGUUCAGUGGCAUUAAAUACAUUCACAUUGUUGUGCAACCCUCACCACCAUCCUUUCACAGGACUCUUUUCAUCUGAAAUUCUGUCCCCAUUAAACAAUACCUCCCCAUUCUCCCCAGCCCACAGCUCCUGGUAAGCACCAAUACUUUCUGGUUCUAUAAAUUUGACUAUUCUAAGUAAUUUAUAUUAGUAGAAUCAUACAGGACUUGUCCUUUUGUGACUGGCUUAUUUCAUUUAACAUAAUGUCUUCAAGAUUCACCCAUGUUGUAGCAUGUGGAAGCCCUUUCUUCCUUUUUAAGCCUGAAUAAUAUUCCAUUGUACUGAUAUACUAUUUUGUUUAUCCAUUCAUCUGUCAAUAGACACUUGGAUUGUUUCCAAUUUUUGGCUACUAUGAAUAAUGCUGCUGUGAACACAGGUAUACAAAAUAUCUGCUCAAGUCCCUGCUUUCAAUUUUUUUGUUGGGUCAUAUGGUAACUCUAUUUUCAAUUUUUGGAGGAAUCACCAUACUGUUUUUCAUUGCAGCUGUACCAUUUUGCAUUCCCAAAAGCAGUGCACAAGAGUUCCAAUUUCUCCACACCCUCACCAACACUUGUUAUUUUCUUU